GAUGAACGCUGGCGGCGUGCUUAACACAUGCAAGUCGAACGGUGAACGAGGGAGCUUGCUCCCUCCGGAUCAGUGGCGAACGGGUGAGUAACACGUGAGCAAUCUGCCCUGGACUCUGGGAUAAGCGUUGGAAACGACGUCUAAUACCGGAUACGAGACGCGAAGGCAUCUUCAGCGUCUGGAAAGAACUUCGGUCCAGGAUGAGCUCGCGGCCUAUCAGGUAGUUGGUGAGGUAACGGCUCACCAAGCCUACGACGGGUAGCCGGCCUGAGAGGGUGACCGGCCACACUGGGACUGAGACACGGCCCAGACUCCUACGGGAGGCAGCAGUGGGGAAUAUUGCACAAUGGGCGCAAGCCCGAUGCAGCAACGCCGCGUGAGGGACGACGGCCUUCGGGUUGUAAACCUCUUUUAGCAGGGAAGAAGCGAAAGUGACGGUACCUGCGGAAAAAGCACCGGCUAACUACGUGCCAGCCGCCGCCGUAAAAC
rnacentral:rRNA from 1 species